rnacentral:rRNA from 1 species
UUUAUUGGAGAGUUUGAUCCUGGCUCAGGAUGAACGCUGGCGGCGUGCCUAAUACAUGCAAGUCGAGCGAAUGGAUUGAGAGCUUGCUCUCAAGAAGUUAGCGGCGGACGGGUGAGUAACACGUGGGUAACCUGCCCAUAAGACUGGGAUAACUCCGGGAAACCGGGGCUAAUACCGGAUAACAUUUUGAACU